rnacentral:rRNA from 1 species
UACGUAGGGUGCAAGCGUUGUCCGGAAUUAUUGGGCGUAAAGAGCUCGUAGGCGGUUUGUUGCGUCGGCUGUGAAAUCCCGAGGCUCAACCUCGGGUCUGCAGUCGAUACGAGCAAACUAGAGUGUUGCAGGGGAGACUGGAAUUCCUGGUGUAGCGGUGAAAUGCGCAGAUAUCAGGAGGAACACCGACGGCGAAGGCAGCACUCUGGGCCGGUACUGACGCUGAGGAGCGAAAGCAUGGGGAGCGAACAGG